rnacentral:rRNA from 1 species
UGGGGAAUAUUGGACAAUGGGGGCAACCCUGAUCCAGCAAUGCCGCGUGUGUGAAGAAGGCCUGAGGGUUGUAAAGCACUUUCAGUGGGGAGGAGGAUUACUAGGUUAAGAGCUGAGUAAUUGGACGUUACCCACAGAAGAAGCACCGGCUAACUCCGUGCCAGCAGCCGCGGUAAUACGGAGGGUGCGAGCGUUAAUCGGAAUGACUGGGCGUAAAGGGUGCGUAGGUGGUUUAUUAAGUUGUUGGUGAAAUCUCCGGGCUUAACCUGGGGUUGACGAAUAAAACUGAUGAACUCGAGUAUAGGAGAGGGUAGUGGAAUUUCCGGUGUAGCGGUGAAAUGCGUAGAGAUCGGAAGGAACACCAGUUGCGAAGGCGGCUACCUGGCCUGGUACUGACACUGAGGCACGAAAGCGUGGGGAGCAAACAGG